CCCAAGGAGAGUUGACAAUAAUAUGUACUCAAUUAGAAAUAAAUGAAGUGGGCAAGCCACUUUUAUGAUAUUGCCAGGAAUAAAAGAGGAAUUAAGUGGAAGGUUUGUUUUUUAUUUACACGGAAAGAAGGCAAAAGAUAGAAAGAGAAGGAAACAGGCCAGAGAAAUUAUUUUGAUCAUUCAGAGGCUCUACGCAAAGGGAAGGCAUUAGUUUGAUUGUUCGUGGCACCUGCUCGGCAUUGAGAGUACGAUCCAGGUUCCAAUUCUACACCCCGUGGCUGAUAGGCGAGGGUGACAUCUUUCAGUCAUUUAGGGUGAGCUACUUGGUCAUCCGUGGCCCCUGAAGGACCUCCUCCCCUAUUUAUUUCUGUUUUUAUUUCGACAGACAAUAUGUAGCCUUCGGGUAUUUCAGACUUCUAUUCCGUAUUAUGUUAGUGCUCUUGUGCCCUCUGACUAGAUUUUGGGGUUGUCGUGACAUUUCUAGUUAUGAUAAGUAUUUAAGACUUGAUAACUUAUUCUUAUUUGAUUUACCACUUAUUUAACUUGUUAUUAGUAAUGUGGUUCGCCUACUCGGAGGGAUAGUGUAUGUGCCACCACGACUUGCGAAUUGGGUCGUAAGCAGAUGGAUUGAUAAAUACCCAUAUCACUACUUUUAUCCACCAAACAUAGCGUUCUAUUUUCUUUUACUUUUCAUUGCUUGAAUUUCCUGUAUUGUAACUUGGGAAUUCUGUAGUACAUGUAUAUGUAGUUCCUUGAUUAUACAUUAUUUUGCAUCUUGCAUAAUUAUGAUAUAAAGGUGAUUGACUUUAUUGA